CACCUCUUCUUUUUCGCUAAUGAUGACUUUAUGAUCCCCAAAAUGGAACUGUUUAUUUCUGGCGGUUUGAAGUAGCCUUAACUUUAACUUCACAAAAUGCAAACGAUUGGGUCGAUAAAAACACGAAUCCAAAUUUCGUACAGAUUGUCGAGAUUUAUCGAACUUAGCUUCGGGGAUCAUGUACAAUGCUUUGAAGCCACGGUCACGAGUUCCUUCGCCUCUACCCUGCCGCUUCGUCACAUGGUCCAUCCCCUACCUAACGCUCCCCAUUGCCCAAGUCUUUGGAUUACAUUCCUGCCUUUAUUUCAGAGUCGGGGCUCUCAUGGUGGUGUCAUCUUAAACCAAUACAUACCGGAAGGAGGGAACAAGAGGCCACAUUUUGAGAAAUCUUUUUUCUUUUGUAUAACGAUUGAUGAUGAAGUUCUUGUAAAUUCGAUGGAGUGACUGUGGUUGUCUUUCCUUCAUGUUGUUGCAAGAACCACCGAUUGCAUCAUUACAGAAUAAUCACCAAGGUCUUCCACGUUAGUCGAUGAUGCCAAGUGUCUAACAACCGGUGUUUCUGUCUCUAAGCAACCGCAAAGUGAUGCGUAUACUGUCGAAGGUUGCGAGUGCAAAGUCGUUUUAUUUGGCGACUAGACCCGCCAGAAGCUGUCUUGGUAACCUUAAUGGCAUAGUUUUCUCAGUAACAUGGAGUUGGUUGCCCGUCUAUUUGCUGUAAUGUGCUCGAUGCAUUGCACUGGUAUCGUGAUGGCUCAAUUUUCUGAUCUUAGCGGAGAUCUCACGGAUCUUGGUGAUAUCUUGGAAGGUCUAAAUUUGGGUGACCUCGAUAUCUUCGGCACAGCUGGGGAGGGGCCGAAUGAAGUCAAGCGGGAGAAAGCUGACCCUCUGACGUGCUACGAGUGUAGUGAGUUCAGUGAACCCAUCAAAAACAGUCGCGAGUUGGCCUGGUCUUGCGCCAUUCCUUCCAAGACCACACUCAAUGGGUCUGUCUGUAUGGCGCCACCCUCGGGUUAUGUUAAUCGUUGCGGCUGGAUAGAGGCCACGGUUUCUUCUCCAAAUCCCGACAAUCAAGAGGAAACUUUGGAAUUGUACUGGAUCUUCAGGUCUUGUGUACUAGUUCCUGAAUCUUUGGGGAUUGGCGACGAUUGUUUCUCUGGAGACCUGGAGGACACGCAGAAUAAUCUGGGUCUUUCAAUCGAAAAGAUUGUGGGUGUCAGUGGUACCAUUAGCGGCGAAGGUUGCUUCUGCAGCAAAGACUACUGUAAUGGGGUCUCUACCGUUAGAUUCCAGACUGUUGGCGCCAUAUUGGGUGUGGCAACGAUAGUGCAAAGCGUUAUUUAUUAGUGGCAAUAAAUGCACAGUAUAGUGUUAAUUCAAACCUGAUACAUCGGUUUUUGAGUGAAAGGUAGUCAAAAAAUCACGGUAAUGUGUUCUGAAAACUGCACUUUAUACAGUCUUUGUUUUCUAUUAUUAAAAAGCCAUGUUUUGUCAUAAACGUUAGAGGUAUAUUAAUUAAUGCAAGUAAGUUGUGAAAUGCAUAAUUGACUUCGCUUUGGCGUUCACGGACAAUGCAGAGAUACAGAUGCCGGGUAAUUUUGCCUGAUAACAAUAUUUGCUUGGCGCCUAAAAUUCACCUCAGAUCUCAGAUUCAGCUUGUAACGAGGAUAUUUUUUGCUCUUUUGUGUAACUAAGCCAUGUUUAUGUGCCAACCUAGGAUACGUUCUCCUGAACUCGCAGUUCAUUAUCUGGUUAUAUAUCGGGCAUCAUGUGCCUUUUCUUGAAGAAACUUGUCUGACACCAUACUUUUCUCAUUGUAUAAUCAUGACGUUUGUGUAACCAUUAAUUCUGCAAGUUACAAGAAUGCUUCCUAACAUGUACAAGAGACGGACAAAUUAUACCAAUGAUGGACAACACCAACCUUGUAAUUCUAAACCAUUAUAUCAGCAGUGAUACUCACUAAUCUUUCUGUAACUACCCCCCUCUUGUGAGCAGCAUCUAAAAAGGUCAUGCUAUGCCCACAUCAUUUUCAACAUGUAUGCUGAUAUUUUGUACUGACGACCAUUGCGGAUGACUACGCAAAAUAUAGCCCGUGUACCCCCUCCCAUCUGCUCUGAUUCUGUUUUCCCCUCCAUCUAUGGUUUGACCUGUGUCGAAGUCCAGAAGGCUGUACAAGAUCCCUUUGUUGCUC
rnacentral:misc_RNA from 1 species